rnacentral:misc_RNA from 1 species
GAAAUGCGAUAAGUAGUGUGAAUUGCAGAAUUCAGUGAAUCAUCGAAUCUUUGAACGCACCUUGCGCCCUUUGGUAUUCCAAAGGGCAUGCCUGUUCGAGCGUCAUUUGUACCCUCAAGCUUUGCUUGGUGUUGGGCGUCUUGUCUCUAGCUUUGCUGGAGACUCGCCUUAAAGUAAUUGGCAGCCGGCCUACUGGUUUCGGAGCGCAGCACAAGUCGCACUCUCUAUCAGCAAAGGUCUAGCAUCCAUUAAGCCUUUUUUCAACUUUUGACCUCGGAUCAGGUAGGAAUACCCGCUGAACUUAAGC